AGUCGAUGGCAGAUGAUCGCUGGUGGACCGUUUUUGCGGUUCGCUGGAGGAAAGUCCGAACACCAUACGGCAGCAUGCCGCGUAAAAAACGCGGGCGCCGCAGUUGAAAAAUUGCGGUGACGGAGAGUGUCACAGAAAAGACACCGCCGGUUCUUUGAGAAAAGUGCAGGCAAGGGUGAAAAGGCGAGGUAAGAGCUCACCGCUCGCGAAGUAAUUCGCGAGGCACGAAAAACCCCAUGCGGUGCAAGACAAAACAGAGGAAGGGCAGCUGGCCCGUUUGAUCCUCGGGUAUCGUCGCAUCACGGCGAAUGAAAAUUCGCCGGGCGUCCAGCCCCAGUUUUGCGAGUGGAGAUGUCGAUCUUGGCGCGUCGCCAGCAAAACUGGAGCUGGAUGAGAUAAAUGAUCAUCCGGUCGCCACGGCGACCCGACAGAAUUCGGCUUAUCGCCAUCGAAAAUUA
rnacentral:RNase_P_RNA from 1 species